rnacentral:rRNA from 1 species
AUGUCAGGAAGAGAUCGCCUGCCGCGCCGUUUUGUCGAAGAUGGAAGGGGCUAUGUUGACGCCCGUGUGGCUGAGGAUCGCAGGGGUCAUCAUCCUGGUAUCCGAGUGGUUGAUGAUCGUAGGGGCCAUCACGAGAUCCGUGUAGUCGAAGAUCGCAGAGCCUAUCCUGCAGUUCGUGUGAUUGAGGAUCGUAGAGCCUACCCUGAGAUUCACGAAAGGCCGCUCAUGAGGGUGGCUCCUCGCUCUCACCUGGAUGUCCUAGAGGAAGAAAUUCAGUUGCACGAGAUUGAUUUCCGCAGGCUUAUGGCUGAUCGUCAUGCUCUAGCUGAGGAACGGAUGGAGUUGCACAGGGAGUUGCAAGCCGGAAAGGAGGAGGUCCGUCACCUUAACAUGAUCAUCGCAGAGAUUAAUGCCAAGAAGGAAGCUUAUAUCAGCGAGCUCGUUGACAAGAGAAGGAAGCUUGAAGCUGAACUUAGAUCAAAUGAGCCUUUGAGAGAUGAGGUUGUGCAUCUUCGUGGUGAAAUCGAGAAGCUCCUUGCUGUUAGGAAAGAACUCUCUGCAAAGGCUGCAUCACUCAUGCAGGAGCUGAGUAGGGAGAGAUCUGAUAAACAACAGUUACCUAUGCUGAAAGCAGAGAUUGAGGGCCUUCAACUGGAACUUACCCAUGCAAGGAAUGCAUGUGAAUUGGAGCAGAAGGGGAAUUUCGAGUUGGUGGAACAAAGGAAAGCAAUGGAGAAGAGUAUGAUUUCGAUGGCACAAGAAAUUCAACAAAUGCGGGCCGAAUUAGCUAAUUUUGAUGGCAGACCAUGGGGCACAGGUGGAGCACAUGGGAUGAAGCUGGGCAGUCCUGAAGCGACCUUCCCUACUCAAUAUGGAGAUAAAUACAAUAUACAUGCGGGAGUUUCUGAGAAAGGUCCUUCGCACCCUCCUGAAUCUUCGUGGGGCACAUUUGAGAAGAACCGUUUCCAGUACCGCUAA